rnacentral:rRNA from 1 species
GAUGAACGCUGGCGGCGUGCUUAACACAUGCAAGUCGAACGGUAAGUUUUAAAAGGAAGUUUUCGGAUGGAAUUUUAAAACUUUAGUGGCGGACGGGUGAGUAACGCGUGGGUAACCUGCCGUAUACAGGGGGAUAACACUUAGAAAUAGGUGCUAAUACCGCAUAAGCGCACAGCAUCGCAUGAUGCAGUGUGAAAAGCCUUGACGGUAUACGAUGGACCCGCGUCUGAUUAGCUAGAUGGCGGGUAACGGCCCACCAUGGCGACGAUCAGUAGCCGGUCUGAGAGGAUGAACGGCCACAUUGGGACUGAGAUACGGCCCAGACUCCUACGGGAGGCAGCAGUGAGGAAUAUUGGGCAAUGGGCGCAAGCCUGACCCAGCAAUGCCGCGUGAAGGAAGACGGUUUUCGGAUUGUAAACUUCUUUUAAGAGGGACGAUAAUGACGGUACCUCUUGAAUAAGCCACGGCUAACUACGUG